CUUUAAGUUCCAGAAAGCGUUUUCAUGGAUUCCAUCGUUGAUCGGAUUGUUGGCUAACGUAAGAUAUUCCAAAAUCUAAAAGACACGAAUCGUUUACAAUAGUUUGUUCGACGAGAGAUCGAGUAUCUUGAGCUUCGGGAUUCGAUCGUUGAAGGCAUUGUCGUCGAUAUAUUCGAGUUUGUUAUGGCUGACGUUUAAUACGCGUAAAUUAUACUCGUCUUUGCAAAGGAAGAAAAACCUUUGAAGAUGAUUCUGCGACAGAUCCAAUAUUUCCAAACUUGCAAGAUUAAUCUGUGACUGAAUCUUCAUGAAAAAGUCUUCUUUCUUCAAACCACGCUCGGACAGAUCCACCUGCGAUGAGAAGAAAAAGAGAAAUAAGAUUUCAAAGAAACAUUAUUCCUGCAUGAAGUGAGGAGAAAAAUAAACGGAAAAUUUCGACGUUGUUCCUGCAUGUGUCAUUCGCGCCAAUUUUAAGUGAUACGAGGAAACGAAUUUUGGCGCGUCGUUACGUCACAGUAAGUGCCAUUACAAUUUAAAAAAUCGCGGCCUAUCAUGAUACAAUGCAAUAUAAUAUAUAAUCCUCCAUACGUAAUUAUUUAAAUCAUCAUCAAACGACCAAUAAAAUCGUUAUUGAUGCCACAUACAAAUAUUAUAACAACGAACAACGUACAAUGCAAAAUACAAAAUUACUACGUAUCGUACACAAUGAAUAAGUAAAAAAGUUGUGUAAACAAGCGAUUCGGGGAGCGAAAUUAAAAAGAAAUGUCACCAAACGGUUCGCGAAUCGUUAUCAGAUCAAGUGUCAAAAAGUCGCGUGUAUAGACCCACCAAUUUCUUCGAGGUCGUGGAAGCAAUUAAAAUGAGGAUUGUGA